AGAUAUUCCGAAGUCUGGAAGCCUUCGGGAAGCUUUUCCCGCAGCGUCUGCUC
rnacentral:sRNA from 1 species